rnacentral:rRNA from 1 species
UACGUAGGUGGCGAGCGUUAUCCGGAAUUAUUGGGCGUAAAGCGCGCGCAGGCGGUUUCUUAAGUCUGAUGUGAAAGCCCACGGCUCAACCGUGGAGGGUCAUUGGAAACUGGGAAACUUGAGUGCAGAAGAGGAAAGCGGAAUUCCACGUGUAGCGGUGAAAUGCGUAGAGAUGUGGAGGAACACCAGUGGCGAAGGCGGCUUUCUGGUCUGUAACUGACGCUGAGGCGCGAAAGCGUGGGGAGCAAACAGG